CCUACGGGUGGCAGCAGUGGGGAAUAUUGCACAAUGGGGGAAACCCUGAUGCAGCGACGCCGCGUGAGUGAAGAAGUAAUUCGUUAUGUAAAGCUCUAUCAGCAGGGAAGAAAAUGACGGUACCUGAGUAAGAAGCCCCGGCUAACUACGUGCCAGCAGCCGCGGUAAUACGUAAGGAGCAAGCGUAAUCCGGAUUUACGGGGGGUAAAGGGGGCGUAGACGGCAGUGCAAGUCUGGAGUGAAAGGCGGGGGGCCAACCCCCGGACGGCUCUGGAAACUGUACGGCUGGAGUGCAGGAGAGGUAAGUGGAAUUCCUGGUGUAGCGGUGAAAUGCGUAGAUAUUAGGAGGAACACCAGUGGCGAAGGCGGCUUACUGGACUGUAACUGACGUUGAGGCUCGAAAGCGUGGGGAGCAAACAGGAUUAGAUACCCCUGUAGUC
rnacentral:rRNA from 1 species